GACCCAAUGGCACCCGGCGUGCAUCUGCUUCGUUUAGAUCUUUCAGAGUCUUCGUGAAAGACAUUUAUGUACGCAGACAUCCCUGGUUCGAAUCCAGGUUGGGUCA